CAAACGACUCUCGGCAACGGAUAUCUCGGCUCACGCAUCGAUGAAGAACGUAGCAAAAUGCGAUACUUGGUGUGAAUUGCAGAAUCCCGUGAACCAUCGAGUUUUUGAACGCAAGUUGCGCUCGAAGCCUUUCGGCUGAGGGCACGUCUGCCUGGGCGUCACAC
rnacentral:rRNA from 1 species